UACAGAGGGGGCAAGCGUUGUUCGGAAUUACUGGGCGUAAAGGGCGCGUAGGCGGCCUGUUAAGUCGAACGUGAAAUCCCCAGGCUCAACCUGGGAACUGCGUCCGAUACUGGCAGGCUUGAAUCCGGGAGAGGGAUGCGGAAUUCCAGGUGUAGCGGUGAAAUGCGUAGAUAUCUGGAGGAACACCGGUGGCGAAGGCGGCA
rnacentral:rRNA from 1 species